CCACAGGGCCUUCCCUUCCAGGUUGCCAUGGAUACCAAAGGGAGAAAGUCCAGCAGUUCAGAGAGCUGCUUAGAGUUCCCCUGGGAAGCACAACUCUGCUGAUCAAACACUGUGGCAGAAAAAAGCCAGGCCACCAAGAGAGCUAAGCUCCUCAGAUCAAGUCCGAAGUCCUUCACUGAGAACAAAAGUCCCUUCAGGACAGCUUCUCGGGGCCACGGCUCUCCUUGACAUCCUGCUCUCUGUCCAUCAGCGGUUCCUGACGCCUCCGCACACAGCAAGAAUGUAAAAAAGUGGAGAGAAUGUGAUUAAAGAAGAAGAAGAAGAAGAAGGAGG
rnacentral:lncRNA from 1 species